rnacentral:rRNA from 1 species
UACGUAGGGUGCGAGCGUUGUCCGGAAUUACUGGGCGUAAAGAGCUCGUAGGUGGUUUGUCGCGUUGUUCGUGAAAUCUCACGGCUUAACUGUGAGCGUGCGGGCGAUACGGGCAGACUUGAGUACUGCAGGGGAGACUGGAAUUCCUGGUGUAGCGGUGAAAUGCGCAGAUAUCAGGAAGAACACCCGUGGCGAAGGCGGCUCUCUGGGACGGUACUGACGCUGAGACGCGAAAGCGUGGGGAGCGAACAGG